rnacentral:rRNA from 1 species
UACGUAGGUGGCAAGCGUUGUCCGGAUUUACUGGGCGUAAAGAGCGCGCAGGCGGUCGUUCAAGUCGCGUGUGAAAGCCCCCGGCUCAACUGGGGAGGGUCACGCGAUACUGAUCGACUCGAAGGCAGGAGAGGGUAGUGGAAUUCCCGGUGUAGUGGUGAAAUGCGUAGAUAUCGGGAGGAACACCAGUGGCGAAGGCGACUACCUGGCCUGUUCUUGACGCUGAGGCGGCGAAAGCUA